GGGGUUUCAUCAGCCAAAGUAUAGGUGGUUAUUUGGUAGGUGUGGGAAUGAAGAAGUAGGAUGUGGGAGGGGAAUAAUGAGGAGGAAGUACUUCCUUAACAAUCCCAGCUAAGGCUGAUCUUAUCCUGUCUCCUUGAAGGUAAAUAGGCAUCUGAGAGCCACACUGCUGUGGUGGAGUGGUGUCAGACAGAUCUCGAUGCACAUCUCACUGCUGCCACUUAAGUCCUACUGAUGGAAGAACAAGCCAAAAUGUGGGAGGAAGAAAUGGAAACAACAGACAGCUGGGUGUUGCUAUAGAAUUUCGUAACUGGAAGGUGUCUCCUGGUCACUUUUGGGUCAGAAACUGUAGCUUGGAGACUCUAGGUCACCACUGCCCAGCCAGAAUGAGGCUUUCCGUCCUGAACAGAUGGCCUGGGACUUAGCCUCUCCAGGAGGAACGAUAGUCUUGACUAAAACCAGUGCCUCUCUGAGUGUGGCCUUGCUGCAGGUGCUGCCCCCGGACAACAAAUAGAAAACUGGAGCAGCAAACAACAAAGACCACUUACUUCCAUUAGAGGUGGCUGCCAUUAUCAUUCUCGAUUGACAUGUGAGGAUACGAGCUCAGAGAAGUUAAAUAACUUGUCAAAGGUCACCCAUCUUUUGAGAGCAAAACCCAGGAUGCAACCCCUGCUUGCCAGUCCAGUCCUAAAACCUGUGGUCUGCCGCACUUCUCCAUGGUGCUUCUUAUGUAGCAGAAAGAUGUCUUUGACAGAGGAGACCAACGUUGCUGUGUCCAACCUAUUUCUUCUAUCACCUCUGCAGGU